rnacentral:rRNA from 1 species
UACGUAGGGUGCAAGCGUUAAUCGGAAUUACUGGGCGUAAAGCGUGCGCAGGCGGCUUUGCAAGACAGAUGUGAAAUCCCCGGGCUUAACCUGGGAACUGCAUUUGUGACUGCAUGGCUAGAGUGCGGCAGAGGGGGAUGGAAUUCCGCGUGUAGCAGUGAAAUGCGUAGAUAUGCGGAGGAACACCGAUGGCGAAGGCAAGCCCCUGGGCCUGCACUGACGCUCAUGCACGAAAGCGUGGGGAGCAAACAGG